rnacentral:rRNA from 1 species
AAAAAAGGUAAGCUACUAAGAGCGAAUGGUGGAUGCCUUGACUGGUAAAGGCGAUGAAGGACGUACUAGACUGCGAUAAGCUACGGGGAGCUGUCAAGAAGCUUUGAUCCGUAGAUUUCCGAAUGGGGCAACCCAAUGUAUAGAGAUAUACAUUACCUAUAUAGGAGCGAACGAGGGGAAUUGAAACAUCUUAGUACCCUCAGGAAAAGAAAUCAAUAGAGAUUGCGUCAGUAGCGGCGAGCGAAAGCGCAAGAGGGCAAACCCAGUGCUUGCACUGGGGGUUGUAGGACUGCAAUGUGCAAGAGCUGAGUUUAGCAGAACAUUCUGGAAAGUAUAGCCAUAGAGGGUGAUAGUCCCGUAUGCGAAAAACAAAGCUUAGCUAGCAGUAUCCUGAGUAGGGCGGGACACGAGGAAUCCUGUCUGAAUCCGGGUCGACCACGAUCCAACCCUAAAUACUAAUACCAGAUCGAUAGUGCACAAGUACCGUGAGGGAAAGGUGAAAAGAACUGAGGUGAUCAGAGUGAAAUAGAACCUGAAACCAUUUGCUUACAAUCAUUCAGAGCACUAUGUAGCAAUACAGUGUGAUGGACUGCCUUUUGCAUAAUGAGCCUGCGAGUUGUGGUGUCUGGCAAGGUUAAGCAAACGCGAAGCCGUAGCGAAAGCGAGUCUGAAUAGGGCGCUUAGUCAGAUGCUGCAGACCCGAAACGAAGUGAUCUAUCCAUGAGCAAGUUGAAGCUAGUGUAAGAACUAGUGGAGGACUGAACCCAUAGGCGUUGAAAAGCCCCGGGAUGACUUGUGGAUAGGGGUGAAAGGCCAAUCAAACUUCGUGAUAGCUGGUUCUCUCCGAAAUAUAUUUAGGUAUAGCGUUGUGUCGUAAUAUAAGGGGGUAGAGCACUGAAUGGGCUAGGGCAUACACCAAUGUACCAAACCCUAUCAAACUCCGAAUACCUUAUAUGUAAUCACAGCAGUCAGGCGGCGAGUGAUAAAAUCCGUCGUCAAGAGGGAAACAACCCAGACUACCAGCUAAGGUCCCUAAGUCU